UGCUUGUAAAUCAUGAUGGUGAAAAAUGGGCAAAGCACAGGAGAAUUCUUAAUCCUGCAUUUCACCAUGAAAAAAUAAAGGGGAUGAUGCCAGUAUUUUCUACUUGCUGUAUUGAAAUGAUUACUAGAUGGGAUAAUUCAAUGCCGUCUGAGGGAUCUUCUGAGAUAGAUGUCUGGCCUGAGUUCUAGAAUCUUACUGGAGAUGUUAUCUCAAGAACUGCGUUUGGGACAACUAUCAAGAAGGGUGGAGAAUUUUCGAGCUGCAAGGAGAACUAGCUGAACGCCUCAUCCAAUCUGUUCAGACAAUAUUUAUCCCAGGCUAUUUGUUCUUGCCCACCAAAAACAACAGUAGGAUG